UAUUGCUAAACCUGUUAACGGUGAGUAAGUGAAAGGAUUACUUUAUGUCUUAUAUGAAAUUAAACUUAGGACGGUUCCGGGAGUUGAUCCAAAGGCGCAAUACACCAUUCUCCGAUUUCAGCUUGUUCUGUAAAAUACAUAAUUACUGCGUGGGACCUCGGCACUAAUCUACAUUUUCGUAUGUAAACAAAGCUACGAUGGCACUGAAGGGUCACACUUACAAAAAAAAUUGAGACUUCUAUUCAAAAAAUUUAGACUUCUGUUUAAAAAAACAAAAACUCGUAUACAAAUAAUUGAAGUAACUAAUAUUGAAAAACAUGCAAACUUCUAUUCAUAAUAGUAGAAACUUUCAUUGAAAAAUUCAAAAAACUUCUGUAAAAAAAAAAUUGCGAACUUCUGUAAAAAACUUUGAAACUUCUAUAACUUUUUUUGAAAGGUUCUAUCGGCUACCGUAAAAUUAAUGAUACUAAAUUAUAAACAAACAUGGACGCCGUGCUGGAGCAAAUUGUACGCAGCCAGGUAGAAUCGUACAUGAUGAAUACUUCAAAGUCAACAGCAAGUAGUUAUUGUAAUGCAAACAACCCCGAUGACGGUUGUUCAAGUUCUUCGAGCACUAGUAGUGCUAACAAAAAACGGAAAACAGAAACUCGUCUUGGCAACUUAUUGUCAAGAGUUCGUCAAAAGGCCUCAUCAUCCUCUUCGAAAAGUUACACACCUCGAAAGAUCAAAAAAGUACAAGUGAAAUGGGAGCGACAUAAGGAUCGGAAGGAUAGGAAGGAUACGAAAUAGUAAAACACAAAGAUGGCGGUGGAUAUCGAUUCACCAAGGUGGAAGUUGGAACACCAUUGAAUUUUGAAGAGCUUAAAUACAAACCUUUGAAGUUGUAUUUUGACCAAAAUGACUGUAAUAGUUACAUAGAGGCAGAAUCAGAGUGCAUGAAGUCGUUAUGUGGUCCAAAUGGGGAAACAUUAGAUGAAGAUGAAGACCUUUGGGCAUACAUUGAAAGGAAAGGUCUAUUUUUAUGGAAGUGUUGGUUUGUUUUAUCAACUAAAUCUGUAGCAUAUGACCAUGAUAACGGGUAUGAAGAAGCUGGUCAGGAAACUUUGAGUAAACAAAAUGAUUACUUGAAACUUUCACUGAGAACUUUUGCCAUGCAAUAAUAGUACCAAAGGAAAUUAGCAGGCGACGUAUAUGUUCUGUUUGUAAUUGCAGCUAUAUCGGAAACCAAUUAUUAUUUGCAUCCAAAAUAAUGAGUAUAGUGCUUCUUGUAUUGCAGAUAUCAACUUGAACUUGUUUGGCAAUUUGUUUGAACCUUCCUGUGUUGAUGAUGAUCAAUAGCUAUAGCAACCAGUGGGAACGAGCCUUUGAAUUUGGAUAAUGCAAGCGCAAGUUCUGAUGUUACAGACGUAGUACGGCACAUUGCUAAAAUACACCGCAUGACGAUAAAGAAAGAGUUGAUGGAUUUAUUUAUUACUAAGCAGAUCAAUGUGACAGAUGACAUCCAAUAUAUAUGGAUUGAUCCUCGUGGCCAAGAAGAAAAUGGUGCAGGGUCAAGUGUUUCUCGGGAUAUUUAUUCUUCAUUCUGGAAUGAAGUAUACAAUGCAUGCUUUUAUGGCGAGCAAGAAAGAGUGCCACAAAUGAUUUGUGCAAACAAGAGUGGUGUGCAAUUGGCAUGAUCAUUUUAAAGGGGUAUGUUGACACUGGUUACUUUCCAAUCAGUUUGAGUCGAGCAUUUUUAUGUUUUUGUUUGUUCGGAGAAGUUCCAGAAAAGCUACUGAUAUCUUCAUUCCUGAAAUACUUGUCAUCAGAUGAAAGUCAGUUGGUGACAAAAGCCAUUGGUAAAAACGAAGGUGAGAAUGUUAUUCACAGUGAUGAAUUUGCUGAAAUUUUGGAACAAUUCAAAUGCAAAACUGUAGUAACAGAAUGAAAUGUGUAAUCAGUUAUCAUUGAAUUAGCUCGCCAGGAACUUGUACAGAAAAGUCACAUUAUAGCCUCAUGUUGGGAAGUUGCCUUUUCAGAACUUUAAAAGAAGCCAGAAUUUUCAUCCAUGGAGAAUAUUGUGAAGUUUUAUGAAAGAUUGGAACCAACCACAAAAAAGGUUGUAGCCUUGGUCAAAAAUGUCCAUACGAGUAGCAGUGCUGAACAAGACUCAUUCAAUUAUUUAAAGCGGUAUGUGAGAGGUUUGGAAACCAUUAUGUUGAAAAAAUUUAUGAAGUUCAUAACAGGCUCAGAUAACAUGGUUGUUGAUACAGUAGAAAUAAUUUUCACGCGACCGCAAUCGAAUUUUAGUCGUAGACCAGUAGCUUACCAAGCUUAGAACUUCCUUCAACUUAUAAUAAUUAUUGCGAACUCCGUAAAGAAUUCAGCAAGAAUUCUGAAUGGGAGCUGGACAUCAUUUAAACUGAUUUUGGAUCCUUUUUUGUUUUGUUGUUAUGUUUGAACUGACACAGAAUAGAGUUUCCAGUAUUCUGUUUUGUUAACACUUUUUUAUACAAUUUUUAAGAGGGUUUUUAGGUCCAAUAAAAAACUUUGUUUCGAUUUA